rnacentral:rRNA from 1 species
UGGGGAAUUUUGGACAAUGGGCGAAAGCCUGAUCCAGCAAUGCCGCGUGUGUGAAGAAGGCCUUCGGGUUGUAAAGCACUUUUGUCCGGAAAGAAAUCCUUGGCUCUAAUACAGUCGGGGGAUGACGGUACCGGAAGAAUAAGCACCGGCUAACUACGUGCCAGCAGCCGCGGUAAUACGUAGGGUGCAAGCGUUAAUCGGAAUUACUGGGCGUAAAGCGUGCGCAGGCGGUUUGCUAAGACCGAUGUGAAAUCCCCGGGCUCAACCUGGGAACUGCAUUGGUGACUGGCAGGCUAGAGUAUGGCAGAGGGGGGUAGAAUUCCACGUGUAGCAGUGAAAUGCGUAGAGAUGUGGAGGAAUACCGAUGGCGAAGGCAGCCCCCUGGGCCAAUACUGACGCUCAUGCACGAAAGCGUGGGGAGCAAACAGGAUUAGAUACCCUGGUAGUCCACGCCCUAAAACGAUGUCAACUAGUUGUUGGGGAUUCAUUUCCUUAGUAACGUAGCUAACGCGUGAAGUUGACCGCCUGGGGAGUACGGUCGCAAGAUUAAAACUUAAAUGAAUUGAC